GAUGAACGCUGGCGGCGUGCCUAAUACAUGCAAGUCGAGCGAACAGAUAAGGAGCUUGCUCCUUUGACGUUAGCGGCGGACGGGUGAGUAACACGUGGGUAACCUACCUAUAAGACUGGAAUAACUCCGGGAAACCGGGGCUAAUGCCGGAUAACAUUUAGAACCGCAUGGUUCUAAAGUGAAAGAUGGUUUUGCUAUCACUUAUAGAUGGACCCGCGCCGUAUUAGCUAGUUGGUAAGGUAACGGCUUACCAAGGCAACGAUACGUAGCCGACCUGAGAGGGUGAUCGGCCACACUGGAACUGAGACACGGUCCAGACUCCUACGGGAGGCAGCAGUAGGGAAUCUUCCGCAAUGGGCGAAAGCCUGACGGAGCAACGCCGCGUGAGUGAUGAAGGUCUUCGGAUCGUAAAACUCUGUUAUUAGGGAAGAACAAAUGUGUAAGUAACUGUGCACGUCUUGACGGUACCUAAUUAGAAAGCCACGGCUAACUACGUG
rnacentral:rRNA from 1 species